rnacentral:rRNA from 1 species
CCUACGGGGGGCUGCAGUGGGGGAUAUUGCACAAUGGGGGGAACCCUGAUGCAGCGACGCCGCGUGGGUGAAGAAGUAUUUCGGUAUGUAAAGCCCUAUCAGCAGGGAAGAAAGAAGACGGUACCUGACUAAGAAGCCCCGGCUAACUACGUGCCAGCAGCCGCGGUAAUACGUAGGGGGCGAGCGUUAUCCGGAUUCACUGGGUGUAAAGGGAGCGUAGACGGCCGUGCAAGCCAGGAGUGAAAGCCCGGGGCCCAACCCCGGGACUGCUCUUGGAACUGUGCGGCUGGAGUGCGGGAGGGGCAGGCGGAAUUCCUGGUGUAGCGGUGAAAUGCGUAGAUAUCAGGAGGAACACCGACGGCGAAGGCAGCCUGCUGGACCGCGACUGACGUUGAGGCUCGAAAGCGUGGGGAGCGAACAGGAUUAGAUACCCCAGUAGUC